AUUGAACGCUGGCGGCAGGCCUAACACAUGCAAGUCGAGCGGAAACGAGUUAUCUGAACCUUCGGGGAAUGAUAACGGCGUCGAGCGGCGGACGGGUGAGUAAUGCCUAGGAAAUUGCCCUGAUGUGGGGGAUAACCAUUGGAAACGAUGGCUAAUACCGCAUGAUGCCUACGGGCCAAAGAGGGGGACCUUCGGGCCUCUCGCGUCAGGAUAUGCCUAGGUGGGAUUAGCUAGUUGGUGAGGUAAGGGCUCACCAAGGCAACGAUCCCUAGCUGGUCUGAGAGGAUGAUCAGCCACACUGGAACUGAGACACGGUCCAGACUCCUACGGGAGGCAGCAGUGGGGAAUAUUGCACAAUGGGCGCAAGCCUGAUGCAGCCAUGCCGCGUGUAUGAAGAAGGCCUUCGGGUUGUAAAGUACUUUCAGCAGUGAGGAAGGCGGGUACGUUAAUAGCGUGCUCGUUUGACGUUAGCUGCAGAAGAAGCACCGGCUAACUCCGUGCCAGCAGCCGCGGUAAUACGGAGGGUGCGAGCGUUAAUCGGAAUUACUGGGCGUAAAGCGCAUGCAGGUGGUUUGUUAAGUCAGAUGUGAAAGCCCGGGGCUCAACCUCGGAAUAGCAUUUGAAACUGGCAGACUAGAGUACUGUAGAGGGGGGUAGAAUUUCAGGGGUAGCGGUGAAAUGCGUAGAAAUCUGAAACGUAUAACCGGU
rnacentral:rRNA from 1 species